UACGUAGGGGGCGAGCGUUGUCCGGAUUUAUUGGGCGUAAAGAGCGUGUAGGCGGUUCGGUAAGUCUGUCGUGAAAUCCUGAGGCUCAACCUUGGACGUGCGAUGGAUACUGCCGGGCUAGAGGAUGGUAGAGGCGAGUGGAAUUCCCGGUGUAGCGGUGAAAUGCGCAGAUAUCGGGAGGAACACCAGUAGCGAAGGCGGCUCUCUGGGACGGUACUGACGCUGAGACGCGAAAGCGUGGGGAGCGAACAGG
rnacentral:rRNA from 1 species